rnacentral:lncRNA from 1 species
GGCCACAGAGAAAGGAGGCUGGGUUCGGAGAGGAAGAGAGGGAGGUCCCAGAGAAAGGUUGAGCGAGCGAUUGAGAGUGGGAGCGGAGCGAGGAGUCGAGAGUCGAGAGAUGGUAUAGAGCAAGAGAGAAGCUCGACCGUGCUCGAGACCCUGCUUCCCGGCGUCCGUUCUUCUGGUAAGUCUGUUUUCUUUUUUUAGUUCAACCCCCUUCGACCCCAGGAUCCCGUCUCGACGACACCAAGGCGGCCGGUCACGGCUCGAUCCGUCCCAGGCCCGCCUGCUGUCCACCGUUGCCUAGCCGGGUAGGGCUCCAUCACCCGAGCGCAUAGGCGCCCUCCGUGUCGCUCUGUUUUCGGGCCGCCGGACCAGGGCUCGCGGUUAUUCGGUUCGUUGGAGUUCCAACCCUGGCGGUGCUGUGUUUCGUUGCCUCUGGACCCUGCAGGGUUGUCUAUUUCUAUCUCGAUCGCCGUGUGAUGUCCAGGUCGAAAGUUACGUCCGUCUUGCUAAAACCGUAGAUCCCUUUGUUCACAUUUUGUCGGUUUUCAUAGGUCAUUGUCGCGAUUCCACGCUUCUAUCCCUCAUUACGGUUACUUUCGCGUGCGUGGUGUGUUAUGCGUUCAUCGUUCAGGUGAUGGAUCGUGGCCAACCAUGACUUUCGUAGAGGGUGAGGGUGGAUGGUGGUGGACCAAUGAGAAGGGUUCAGUUCUGUUAGACUCUGGGCGUGACGUGGGUGCAGACGUUCGUGAGAAGUGAGGGGGAGAUGGACCAUGUUUGGAAGAGGGCUUAGAGAGAGAAGAAAAUAGAAAAUAACUUUAAAAAGGGUAAUAAAAGAAAGAGAAAGAGACGAAAAGGGGGAAAAUUAGAUUAAAGAAAAAAAAAAAGGGAAGCGUGCAUGAGUUGUGUGGAUUCGGGCUCAGCGUGGGUUCAAUGAGGUUGGGCUUGACUUGUUUGUUGAGAAUCGGGCCCGUUCGUUUUUAUUUAAUUUUCUUAGGAUUUCGGGCUUUGACUUGGAUGGGCUUGGACUGAAUUGUGAGCUAUUUUCAUAUUGGGUUUGAUGGUUCUAACUGAAGUGGGCAUAGACUUGGGUUUGUUGUGGCCUAAUUGGGCUUGAUUCAGGUGAGUCCAUUCCAUUGUUUAGGCUUUUGUGUCCAUGAACCCAACUCGUGGACCAGACUACAGCCCAUAUUCAGACAUGGCCCUAGGGCCAGCCCGGUGUCCCUAUUUUCGGAUAAAUUUUAAAAUAUAUAUUAAAAAAUUUAGAAUAAUUGAAAAUUCUGAUUUUUUUUUUAUUUUUUCUGAAAAUCAGAAAAAAUCUUAAAAUUUGGUUGUUGAGUAGUUUUCUCUUUAAAAUGUGUGAAAAUCAUUGAUAAGAAAAUUGUGCUCAAAAUCAAACAAGCCCUUUCGAUUUUACUAUAGGAUUCCAUUUGUCCUUAGGGAUGAACGCCCUCGAUUGCGCACAUUCAAUAUAAUGAUUGUGGAUUCCUCUUAGUUUGGUUAGAUUGGCAUUCAUUUAUUUCUUAGGGCUAGUGCUUGUUUUUCUUUGCAAAUUUAUUUAACGUUUUCCUUAGUUGUUGAUUAUUAUUUUAAUGAUUGUGUAUUACCCCAAAUGUUAGUGAACAGGUUAAAAAUUAAUCCAAAUUGCCUAAAAUAAAUCUUUUUGAAAUGAAUAAGAUUAUGUACCGAAAUGACAUUAAUUGAUUAAUUAGUGUAACAAUCUUUAACCCUAAAUUCUCUAAUUAUGUAAGAAGUGAGGUAUACUCUCAUGUCUCAUUUGAUUUUUUGUUAACCCCAAUAGGUUAGUGGCGACUUCGCAUAAAAAAUUCUUAUAACGUCUAUUUGAAUACUCAACGUUGCGCGAUGUAUGGGCUUGGUAGAGCCCACCUCUAAAAUUAGAGCUAUAGACUCGUCUUUCAGGUAAUAUCCCUAAACUUAUUUUCUUCCUUUCUGAGGGGUAGGUUGUGACAAUAAAGGAUAGUGUUUUUUUAACCUCUCCUUUUUUUUUCUUUCCCAAUCAAUUCUUUUGUACUAAUACAUAAUCCUUGUAAUUAAUAAUAAGGUUCAUUUCUAGUACUUCUAGCAAAAGUGCAUCGGCUUUGUGAGUAUGCAAAAAGGUCAUAUUUAAAUGAUAUUAGAGAUGUGGUUCCUGAUGAGAUUCCAUAUGGCUUACCACCCAUUAGUCCUAAGGAGCAUGAAGAACUCCAAUGCCAAGUGAAGUAAGUAAUGGAAUUAGGCUUGGCAAAAGAAAGUAUUCACCCUUGUGCUAUGCCAACCUUUCUUGUUCCUAAGAAGUAAGAAGUAUGGAUUGUGGCGUUUGUGUUGUGAUGGUCGUGCAGCAAAUUAAUAACAAGCAUCAUUUUCCCAUUCCAUUACUUGAUCAGCUACAUAGAGCAUCUGUCC